rnacentral:rRNA from 1 species
ACGAACGCUGGCGGCGUGCUUAACACCUGCAAGUCGAACGGUGAAGCGCCUUCCUUUUUGGUGGGUGUGGAUGAGUGGCGAACGGGUGAGUAACACGUGAGUAACCUGCCCCCUUCUUCUGGAUAACCGCAUGAAAGUGUGGCUAAUACGGGAUAUUCUGGGUCUGUCGCAUGAUGGGUCUGGGAAAGAUAUUGUUUCGGUGGGGGAUGGGCUCGCGGCCUAUCAGCUUGUUGGUGGGGUGAUGGCCUACCAAGGCGGUGACGGGUAGCCGGCCUGAGAGGGUGGACGGUCACACUGGGACUGAGACACGAACCAGACUCCUACGGGAGGCAGCAGUGGGGAAUAUUGCACAAUGGGCGCAAGCCUGAUGCAGCGACGCCGCGUGAGGGAUGGAGGCCUUCGGGUUGUGAACCUCUUUCGCCAGUGAAGCAGGCCUGCCUCGUUUGUGGGUGGGUUGACGGUAGCUGGAUAAGAAGCGCCGGCUAACUACGUG